rnacentral:rRNA from 1 species
UACGGGGGGAGCAAGCGUUGUUCGGAUUUACUGGGCGUAAAGGGCGCGUAGGCGGCCUCUGCAAGUCGACUGUGAAAUCCCCGGGCUCAACCUGGGAACUGCAUUUGUGACUGCAUCGCUGGAGUACGGCAGAGGGGGAUGGAAUUCCGCGUGUAGCAGUGAAAUGCGUAGAUAUGCGGAGGAACACCGAUGGCGAAGGCAAUCCCCUGGGCCUGUACUGACGCUCAUGCACGAAAGCGUGGGGAGCAAACAGG